UUCUAGGAAGGGAGCAUGUGAGUCACGUGUCUUGGCUGAGGCCAGGCAGACCUCCAGCAUUGAUGGUUUGACUAAAUUGUACUCAUUAGGAACAAUUUUCUCUCUUAAAACUAUACUAGGUGACUUAGCUAUUUUUCUAUUGCUGUGACAAAACCUCACGACCAAGGCAACUUAUAAAAGAAAGCAUUUAAUUGGAUUUACGUUUUUACAAGCUUAUAGACUGUGAUGAUCCAGAAAAGGCACGGCAGCAGGAACUGCUAAGAAUUCACAUCUUGAUCUGCAAGUAGGAGGCAGAGAGGCAUCUAGGAAUCACAGGAGUCUUGAAAUCUCAAAGCCCCCACCUUGCAGUGGCACACCCCCCACCAACUAGACCACACCUCCUAAUCCUUCCCAAAGAGUUCCACUCACUGGAGACCAAGUAUUCAAACAUAUGAACCUAUGGGGGUAUCCUAUUUAGGAUUACUAUUGCUGUGAUGGAAUACCAUAAUCUAAAGAAGUUGGGGAGGAAAGGGCUUAUUUGGCUUACACUUCCACAUUACUGUUCAUUAUUGAAAGAACUCAAACAGGGCAGGAACCUGGAGGCAGGAGCUGAUACAGAAGCUAUGGAGGGGUGUCACUUACUGUCUUGUUUCACAUGGCUUUGGUUCAGUCUUAUAGAACCUAGGACCACCAGCCUAAGGAUGGCGCCACCCACAAUGGGCCAGGCCCAUCCCUGUGAAUCACUACUUAAGAAAAUGCCUAUAGGCUUGCCUGCAGCCUUCAUAAGAGGUGUUUUGUUUUGUUUUUUCCAUUGAAGUUCCCUCCUCUCAGAUGACUUUAGCUUGUGUCAGGUUUACAUAAAACUAGCCAGACAGAGGCCCAUCCUCCUUCAAACCACUACCUACACGGGGUCUGGAACCUGAAGAAGGGGAACAGACUCUGAAUGCCACAAUCCAUCCUACAAGUCCAGAGACAUCCUUAUUUCCUGCCGCUUAAUACUCUACUUUAAACAUCUGUCUAGUGAUUUCCUGCUUUCACAGCUCCAGUCCCUACGAACACACAGACCUUCCUCACCAACAGAGGUCUUCUAAAACACAAAUCUUCUCAAGUCUUUGCCUCUUCUUCCUGGCUCCCCCCUGCUCCUUAAACGUGACUCUCCCUGGUUUGCACACAGUCUUCCUGCCAAUGUCCUUCACUAUUCUCUGCCUCACAGGAUUCUAUUCAAAGGAUCUUCUCUCAAGAAACCCGCUUCAGCCAGCCAGGAUGAACUGGCUAGUCCUUCUCCCUUACUCUCUUCAGUAUGGAUUUGAUUUUAGCCUUGAGCAGCAUACGCUCACAAGGAAUCCGGCUCCUUCUGGAGAUGGGGGACUCCCCUGACUGUGCAGCCUGUUUUCUCAGCCUUCCCCAGCUUCUAGUAUUUAGCACUGUGAGUAGCUUGUAGGUCCAAUGAGCUGUCCAGACAAGGAAACUGGAGCCCUAAGAGGUCAAGUCACACACUUAGGGACCAGCCACUUCAUACGUGGAAAUGGAUUCUGAAAAGGUAGUGAUAAAUCAGAUUGUGCUAUGUAAUAGCCUGGGCAGUUGGUAGACCCUGGAGGGGAAGGGUGGUCACCAGCCACCUUCUUAGUGGGAAAAAUAAGGUUCAGCUGACUCAAAAACCCAGGUGGGAGGAGGACUUUCAUUUAACUAUGAGGAAGAGCGUCUUGUUCCUGGGUCUGGUAGACAAAAGGGUGUUGACUUGAAAUGCCUGAGGACUUGGCUCACUGGAGGCUUUAAAACCCAAGAUGGUGUCUAUCCGGGAGACUUUCAGGUUCUAUUCGAGGUAGGCAAAUGGCUGAGCCAAGCUGGGGAGACAUUGCCUUUUGAGGGAGUCCACCAGGAGCAGAGGAACCUGGCUGAAGACUCCUGGUCUCCAGCUAUAUUCCCAUGGAGCUCCAGGCUGCUUGGGGGAGGAGGCCGAAGAGAGGGAACCCAGCUAAUUAAGCCUAUACCCACAAGCGAAUGUGAGGCUAAUAAGGCGGCCCCAUUGCAGGGUCCCUCCACACCAAGCCAGCCGGGCUGCCUGUUUAUUGCCCGUAUGGAGAUCAUUAAUGCCUCCUGACACCGGGGUCACUCGCAGGGUCAAUCCCAGAGCCUGUGCUGCAAGACAAGGGGAAAUGAACUUCCCAGCACAUGUGGCCCAGGCGUGACAGGGAGGGUGGGGGUCUCCAGUCACCCCCACUCUAGAAGUGAUCUGCACCUCCCACCCCCAGUCAGUGAGACCCUCCUCUUCCUCCUCAAAGCAAUCCCCCUGCUCCAUACUGGUCUGAAAGAAGGAAGUCUAUGGAAGGGCGAAAUGGCGACCCUUGUCUGGCCGGGACAACCCCCACUGAGGCUGUCCCCACCAACAGACGGGCACUAAUCCCCUGGCGACGGGCUGGGGUGGCGUCUGGGAGUUGCAGCUGCAGCUCGACAGGGGCCAGACUACCAGCCGCAGGUGGCGGGAAGACACGGGCCUGAGGCCACGUGGUGGCGCAUGCCUGGGCCUCCGCUCCACCCGCUCUGCCUUUUUUUUUAUCAGUGAUUGGCUCUCUCAACCUUCCUGAAAGAUUAGUGCUGUGAUUGGUGAAUCUAGGUCCCUCUGACUGAAGGACAGACUCAGCAGCCACUCAGGGCACUCCUAGUGAUGGCGGUGGGCAGCUGCGGAGGUGGCUGUAAACUCACCCACCUACUCUUGGACGUAAGCAACUGAGGCCUUCUGAGGCUGGGAAGAGCAAACGUGAAGGCAGGGACCCCCAGAUAUCUUCUGGGCAGAUGCCUUUCUUAACCUGGGGUGUCUGCUACGAUUGUGAUCUGAACUGGGAUUUAAUCUCUAGCCAGACCAUCGAGAAGAUGGGAAAACCUCCAACUAUCCUGGAGGAAAUCGAUAGGAUUAUGAGGUUAAUGCCAGAGCCGUCUGAGUGACAGUUACCAGAUAAAUGAUCCCAGAAGGACAUGGCUGAGGUUAAAUGAAGCCCAAUAAAUAAAAGGACAUGUUUCUGAACGAGCUUCAGAAAAUGCAAAGAGGCAGAGUCCAGUCUAGGGCCUGUUGACUCUUGGAGAAGUCACAGUUCUAGCCUGCAACCCAGAAUCUGUACCCUUUGCUGUGCCAGCAUUGGCUUAGCUUUGAGGCAUGGCAUUCCUCGGACAGCUCCAUUCCUCCCACCCCCACCCCCGGCUCUGGGAUAGAAUGAGGGAAUGGAAACUCUUAUUGUGGAAGUCUAACCUGUUAACCGAACUGCAGCUUGCCUCUUGAUUCCUUAGGGAAAAGACUAACGGCAGCGAGUGGGUUGGGGCUGGAUGUUAGAAGGCGUUUCCCCAAACAUUAGAUGGAUACACCUAUGGGUCUUGGAGGCAAGGUCCAUUUUCUCAACUAGGCUUCCAGCCCAACAUCUUCUCAUCAGGUAAUAUGCUAGAAAAAGCUGUCCUUCACUGAACACUGAGCAAGCGCCCGUUUCCAGUUUCUUCCAACUCUUCCCAUCAAUGUCUACAUCAGGCAUUCUUAAGUACUCUUUUCUAGAAUGAGGCUCAGACACUUUCCUUGGUUGAAUAGCUAUGGUGUCUUUGUGCUAGCCAAUCAUAUUAGAAGAGGGGGCGAUCAGAGCUCUUUGCAAACCUUCUGAGUCCCUCUGGGUCCAGAGAUGGAUUUCCUCUGGGGUAUCAGGUCUGGGCCCAAGGAUAUAGGGUGUGGCCCUCAAUGGCCUGUAAUGGAUUCAACCCAAUGGGGGCACAUCUUCCCUUGCUUGUGUUUGGUACAAUACAAUUUUAACUUCUGAGUCAAGGCUAAUGUCCCACUAGAAAGGGCCCCUCUACGUCAUCUCUCCUCACGCAACUUUGCUAUAGAGCACGUGUGUGUUAACCUCUCCUCCUGCCAACAACAGGGCCCAGAGACAGAACAGUCCGUUUUCUUGAACAGCUGGCUUGGUGGCAUCAGCAUGGUUACAGAACAUGAUACUUUUGGGCCCAUGAAGGAUUCAUAUUCUCUCUCUCUCUCUCUCUCUCUCUCUCUCUCUCUCUCUCUCUCCCUUCCCCUCCCCCUACCUCUCCCGCUUUCUCCCUCUCUAUUUGCCUCUCUCUCUGUCUCCCCACUUACUUUUUUCAUGGUCAUGUGGAUGUCAGAGGACAGCUUUGUGAACUCCCCUCCUUCCCCACCUACAUGGGUUCUGAGAAUCGAACCUUGUGCCUGCAGGCUUUUGUAGCAAACACGUCUUUACCUGCUGAAACCACCUUGACAGUCCCAAGAGGUGGCUCUCUUCUGGGAGUCUAACAGGAGAGGAAAUUAAGUUUUUGGUCUCUGGGUAGAUUUUUUUUUUUAAUUAGAGAAUUUAGUAUAUCUAGGUGUGAGACUUACUAUGCCUGUAAUAACAGCACAUGGAAGGCUGAGGUAGAGAGGGUCACUAAGUGCUUGAGGAUAACCUGGGCUACAUAGUGAGUUCCAGGCAAGCCUGACUUAUAAAGUGAGACCUUGUCUCAAACAUCAAAAGGG
rnacentral:lncRNA from 1 species